rnacentral:lncRNA from 1 species
UUACAGGCGUGAGCCUCUGCGCCCAGCCGGUACACUGCUUUUGAGAAGUAAUUUGAUAAUAUGUAUGAGAAGGCUUAAAAAUAUUCAUGCGGCCGGGCAUGAUGGCUCACGCCUGUAAUCCCAGCACUUUGGGAGGCCGAGGCGGGUGGAUCAUGAGGUCAGGAGUUCGAGACCAGCAUGGCCAAUAUGGUGAAACUCUGUCUCUACUAAAAAUACAAAAAGUAGCCAGGUGUGGUGACGUGUGCCUGUAAUCCCAGCUACUUAGGAGGUUGAGGAAGGAGAAUCUCUUGAACCCAGGAGGUGGAGGUUGCAGUGAGCUGAGAUCUCGCCACUGCACUCCAUCCUGUGUGACAAAGCGAGAUUCCGUCUCAAAAAAAAAAAAAAAUUUCAUGCCUUUUGACCCAGUAACUUUUAUUGAGAAAUCUGUGAUUUUAAAACAAAAUCCAAUAUAUAGAAAGAUCUUUAGGUAUAAGGAUAUUAAUUACAAUAAUGAAAAAAACAUGCAAAAGAAGAGUGGCUAGGUCCUCUGUUUGGAAACAGCCUACAGCUGGUGAAAGCUGUGUGUAAGAAGAUUUUGUAAUAUGAUAGAAAGUUGUGUAUUGAUAAUAAAGUUUUGAAAAGCAAGAUUCAAAAUAACUCAUAAGCAUGACGACACUAAGUCAUCCUGCACAGUCACCCGCAUGCACAAAAACCAGGAGUGGAAACUCAGGGGCAGCUGCAAAGCACAGCUCCAGGCCCCUUCCCUCUGAAGUCUGAGGCUCUGCCAGGCAACGUUUCAUCCCGAUCCUCCCAGUGGAGACACUGGCAGUUUCCAUCCUUCUGCUUCUUUAUACCUUUUUAUAUUUUCUGUACUUGAGAUUUUACUUCCUAAGAAGAUAAAAUACCUAUUAGAAAGUUUUAAAAAUUUGAAAUAAAAUUUUAAAGAAGUCCAAACGUCUGGCCAGGCGCAUUGGCUCAUGCCUGUAAUCCCUGCACUUUGGGAGGCCGAGGCGGGCAGAUCACGAGGUGAGGAGUUCGAGACCAGCCUGGCCAACAUAGCGAAACCCUGUCUCUACUAAAAAUACAAAAAAUUAGCUGGAUGUGGUGGUGGGUGUCUGUAAUUCCAGCUACUCAGGAGACUGAGGCAGGAGAAUCGCUGGAACUCGAGACGCAGAGCUUGCAGUGAGCCAAAAUCGUGCCACUACACUCCAGCCUGGGUGAUAAGAGCAAAACUCUGUCUCAAAAAAAAAAAAAAAAAAGUCCAAAUGUCCAUUCCCAACUCAGCUUCAAGGAAAGUCUCCUCUAGACUCCACAGGGUAGAAAUUCCUGUUGAUGGCACCUUCAGAAGGUAAGAAAGGAACUCGUCCUCCACCAUGCCUGACCCGUCUUUGGGUUUUAGGCAUUGGCCGACUGAUAAAGGCAAUACUGAGAGUGUGAUCAAUGUGUAGACGACCGAUUGUCAUAUAAUAUGAAUCUCACCACACCUGAGAGAGUGGGAUAGAUUCUCUCAUUUUCAUAGUUUGGGCAUCUGAGUCCCUGAGAGCCUGAAUGCCUGACAUGGAUUCUCCAAGAAUGUUGGCCUUCAGACUCUAAAGGGCCCCGGGUCUCCUGUGAAGCCCCCUGUGCAUGCACCACACCCGCAGAGGCUCCACAACGGCGGGAAGGGCACCCAGGGUCAGAGCCCAGGCGAGUUCACACUCGGGGACCAUCCACAUCCAGGGCGUGCAGGGGAGGGGCCGAGGUGAGAGCCCAACCCCUGCCUAGGCUGUGGUGACUGGUGGCUGCACGGGGGUCCCAGCGCUCCUGGAGCUAUCAUUCUUUAUCUCCUGAAGACCCCGGACCCGCACAUACCAAAAUUCUGCAUUUCUGGUGGCGCGGUCUUCUCUUUUGAGAUGUAAACACUACUUCUCGAAUCUUAAAGCCAGCCAUUGCCACUCCUAAGGGAUAAGCCUCUAACUCCACUGAAAUUAGCCUCAGAAUUUCAGCUGAGCAUUUGGAGCCACAGGCAGGAAGUCUGUGGGAUUUGCACCUGGCUGAUCUGGAAGGUGGUCCUGAAAGGUAGUGUGUGACUAGGGGGGCUUUGAGGGGCAUGGAUGUCCCUGAUGAAAGGAGAACAAGACAGAUGGGAAGGUUCCAAAAGUGAACUUUAGGGGGCCCUGUGCCCAUCACUAGGAUUUGGAAAAUCUUUUCCCAGCCACUUUUGGCCUGUGGGUUUUCAUUCUGCUUUCCUGUCUGCCAAGCCAUUCCAGGCAAUCCCUUCAUUUGGUAAACAUUUAUCAAAUACCUACUGUGUGCAGGGCAUUGUUUUAAGAGGAGCUGGGACUGAGAUAAGAGGAAAUAAACCCUCCUUGCCCUCAAGGCGUGCCCAGUCUUGCUCAGGCAGAGAUCAGUAAGGAAAUCAUAACACAAAUUGAGAGAGGAAAAAGGAAGAAACUGGUCAGGCGGGCAGUUAUGGUGGGUCCUCAGUUGAAUUAUUUCAAACAAAAGAACGGCCUGCAGGCACAAAGAAGGGAACUUGCACAGGGGGGCUUGCCUAAGACAUGCCCACAGCUGCACAAAUAAGAAAGGCUGCAGUAAUCCCAUUCCUACAUCCAUAUCUUGGGGAACUCACACAGGGGACCAGAGAGAGAUGACCCAGGAUGUUCAUUGUGGCAGUGUCUGUAACAGAAACAAGCUAAAGGUCACGGACAGAAGAGAUAAAUUGUGGGAUAUUCCUCCCAUGAAUACUAUCCAGAACUGAAAACAAAGUAACUGUUUCUAUGGGUGUGGGUUCACCUCAUAAACCAUAUUAAAUGAUAAAGCAAGCCACAGAAUGAUACAUUCAACAAAAAACAAUUUAUACGAAGUCUAAAAUCAUGUAAAACAAAGGGAUUUUAAAAACUUUGUAACAAUAUAAAGGCAUUCACCAAAUUCAAGACAUCCGCCACUCCCCACUGGCAGUCCUUGCUUUACUCAGUACAGUAUCGACUGAAACACAUACAUAACAGAACUGUGGAAAAUCAGGGCUAUCUGCAUAUAUUUCUAUUAUUUUCUAUGUAUACUACAUAUAGCCAAUAAUAUUAAAAUGUUACAAAUUGACAAACCUGAGUGGUGGCUUCACAAAGAUUUCUUUUAAUUCUCUAUUCUUCCAGCUAGAACUACUUCAGCUAGAUCAAGUGGUGGCAGUGAUCUGCAAAAGUCAGAGGUCACAGUUACCAUGACAACCCCAACAGAGCAGGCAAGGUUGUGCUUGACCUGCAGGGAGUGUGGGGAAGGUUAACAGAGGGCAGUGUCCCAGGUUCAGAACAGAAGGACAGCCAGCAAGGGCGCUGCUUGAUAUCUAUGAAAAGAAAGCAAGAAUUGAGGAGCAGGAGGCUGAGGGUGUUUGAUCCAAGACAAAGUCAUAAUCUGUUCUCAAUGCCUAGACCUCACCUAACUUUCAGAUUCAGAUCCCAAUGACAGAGGAGGGGAGUCCAUAUCCCUAGGAGGAAGAACCCUGGAACACCCUGGGAGUAUAUGCU